AACAGCGGCAGGAAGUGCAGCUUUACACUAACUAAGCAUCCACCCAAAUCGUGCCGGCUUCGGCUUGACAAUGGUCCUUUGCAGGACACCUCUUUGCCUCAUCCUGCAAAAGAAUCUGACACAAUAGGAUGGAGGUUUUGCUGCUUCGGGGUCUGUCUAGCAACACCUGAAGAAGAUUGGUCUGCCAUGAGUGAGGUCAGGCUAACUACUGCCCCCUCCAGUACUCACUGCAGUUGGGGGCGGGGCCUGUUUCAGACACUCAGGAAGCACUAAGAAGACCUCUCCCUUGCCCACCUGUGGGGAUACAGCUUUUGUCUGCUUGGGGAUGGGAUAGAGGAAAAACGUUGCCUCUGCAUACAAAGAUUAGAAUGAAAAUAUGCUUGCCUAAGCAUAGAAAACCGGCAAGAUAGGACCCACUGGGAUUGACGUGGUCUCUGCGGAGGCACAAGAAGGAGAACGAGAAAUAGGAGACACAGUGCCCUCAGAAUUCUUCUGUACUACACAAAAUAUAAUAAUAAAAUAAGUGGUGUGUGUGUGUGUGUGUGUGUGUGUGUGUGUGUGUGUGGUACUGGUUUGUACGUGCAGGCGAGUGUACUAUGCAGUGGUCGGAGGACAGCAUGGGUGUUGGUUCUUUCCUUUCAUCUUGUUGGCAGCUUCCUACGUCAGGUUAGCUGGCCCACUAACUUUGCGUGGUUCUUCUUCCUCUGCCUCUCUCCUGGAGGGAGGGUCUGGGGU
rnacentral:lncRNA from 1 species